UCUAGUUAAUAUUCCGUCUUAAAACAGUAGAUUUGUCAAAAUUAUCUUCAAGAUUAUGCUUAAGAAUUUUAACUUCCAGAAAAUCUUACUGAUUAGGUCUGUUUAUAUUUUCUGGUUAUUUCAGCACUCAUUGUUACAAUGGUUUUUCAGCUUCCUGGGCCUCAAGAGAUGGUAACACCCUGGGCCUCAAGAGAUGGUGACACCCUGGGCCUCAAGAGAUGGUGACACCCUGGGCCUCAAGAGAUGGUGACACCCUGGGCCACAAGAGAUGGUGACACCCUGGGCCUCAAGAGAUGGUGACACCCUGGGCACAGGAACAUUUCCUGUCUCUUUAGACCAAACUUUAAAACAUUUCUUCACUUUACAUGGCAGUACAACACAGGAUGGAUAUAGUGUGGCUGUUACUGGAGAUGUCCGGCUGAUUGACGAGGAGAAUUUUCCUGAAAGUGAUACAUUGUAAGACUUGGGUAGCUCAAAUGCUGUACAAAAUGUCAGAAAUUGACUGAAGAAUUUGACAUGAAGUGAUUGGUUGUUCAGAACUUUCCAAGUUCUCCCAGAUCCAGGGAAACACAAAGUCAGUCAGCUGGACUUCAGCCUGCAGCAGAAGAAUGUCCUGACCAUUUGACCGAGCACCAGCAUUGAUGGGGUGGCAGUGACUGUGGAGUGUUGUGACCUUGUUGAUAGUAAACAGAAGACUGUGACCUUGAAUCUGAAGAUCUGUGAUGAAGGAUGCUUGGGGUCACUCUCUGUUACAGUACUAUAAAUCUAACCACAAAGAGGUUGUCUCUGAUGUCCACACAUAAACCGUAUGGAUACUCUAAACCACAGUGAAUGUAGCGGAGGAACUGUCCGUCCUGAUCUAGGAUGUGGAUACGGUCAUUGUAACCGUCUGCUGUCAGGAUGUGACUCUGACUGUCUGUAGUGAUGCCGACUGGAUUAAAUGAUUGCUCGGUAUUAGAGGGAUGACCAGUGUAUCUAAAUCGGAGUUUUCCUGACUGAUUGACCACCACUACUGCUCUAGUGAACCAGUCAGCCACACAGAUAUCCAGGUUCCUGUUCUCACUGAGGUAUUUUUCGCUAUAACCAGAUGAGUAGAGAGGACGACCCUGAUCAUCAAACUGAAUGCUUUGUUUCUCUGUGGAGCCGGAGUAACGCACGACUUUGGAUUGUUCUCCAUCAUCACUGACCAUGGUAACCAGGAGAUGGUUAGAGGCGGUACAGCAGACAUAGCGAGGUCUCCACCCCUGUAGUGUGAUCACGGUUGAGUUGAGUGGAAUAAUGAACCUCCAGAUAUCUAUGUACAUGCACACGUGUAUGAUUAAACUUUUGUUGCACUUGUCCUAUAU